rnacentral:rRNA from 1 species
UACGUAGGCAGCGAGCGUUGUUCGGAGUUACUGGGCGUAAAGAGUGCGUAGGCGGUUUCUAAGUUUGGUGUGAAAUCUCCCGGCUUAACUGGGAGGUGCGCCGAAGACUGGAAGGCUUGAGUAUGGGAGAGGUAAGCGGAAUUCCUGGUGUAGCGGUGAAAUGCGUAGAUAUCAGGAGGAACACCUGCGGUGUAGACGGCUUACUGGACCAUCACUGACGCUGAGGCACGAAAGCGUGGGUAGCAAACAGG